ensembl:lncRNA
GCAGGAGUUAUUAAGUAAAACAAUUAGCAAUCACGAUUUCUGUCCUGACAGCUCUAAUUCCAGAAAAUGUGAGGGGUUAAUACACAUUCCUUGCUUUAAAGACUAGCUAGCAUAAUGGCCAACAAGACUGACUCAGACAUCAGACUACGGCUGCUCAGCAUUUUAUUCCGUAGAAAACAGAUUGGUAUAGUAAAAUACAUUUCGGUCAGUAUUCAUUAAGCAUUGCAUGUUCUUCUAAAUCAAGUCCAGUAAGAGUGUACCAUAAGGAGCUGUAAAGUAUAAUACACUUUAAAGUUUUUCAAACCAACAAGACAGCUGGAAAACAUAGGAAUGUUUUAGCGGUUUUCUUCAACACCAAUUACUAUCAUUUAGUGUUCACAUUGAAAAAUGCAAGAUCCCGAUCACCCCCCAAAACAAAUUAAAUAGAAACAAAUCAUUUACAAAAAUCAAUUCACAUUACACUGGAAUUACAAUAAAUUCUACUUAAAAAUCAUCUAUCACAAAAUAUUAAAUUUUUUAAGGCAGAUUGAAGAGCUUUAAUGGCAUCAGUGUAUUAAACGUAUAACAAUGCAUAGAAAUUGUGCACAGAUGCUACAAAUACUUUUAAAGUGUGUGUGUGUGUGUGUGUGUGUGAGAGAUAAAGCAUGGUGAGAGAGAUGCCAUGAUUUGUGUCAUUGGUGUGUGGCAUCAGUUGUAGGUAUCAUUUGUACAUGGUAGUCAACUGGCAGAAAAUACUUCAGAUACAAGUUACAAAACUAACAAUACAUUUGUCCGAAGAAAUAAGCUAUGUUCCCCCACUGUUCAAUUUAACACCUGUUUAUCCAAUUGUACGUAUGACUGUCCCAUCAGAGCAACUACCAACAGGCUCAGGAGAGCGACGUGAGUUCUCCUAAAAUACCCUCUAACAAAUGAUUCAGUCCCAUUUCAGUAUACCUGUCUGUAGUGGAUGCUGUAACAGUCUGCCUUGGAGUGCCUGGGCCACUCGGGCUGUGCCAUUUCUAAUACAUUUAAAUGUGUUUAUCAGUGCCAUAUAUUGCUAGUUGUUUCAGUGUGCACUAUGCACUUGCGGUAUAAUCAUUAACAGGCCUCUGUCAGAAUUUGGCGUGUAACCAUGUUUCAUAAACAUGUAGAUUACUUGCCCAUUAAGGAAUGCAUGAAACAGCUGCACAGUUGCUGUGCAUCACAUCAGUGUAAGAAUACAGCCUGGUCAAUAGGAUCCCAGUUAAAGCAAAGACCACCCAAGUACAGUGGCAAACACUCACACUACAGUACCGGUUGAUGUGGUGGGACACCUUCGGUCAAUGUGUCAGGUGUGAUCAAACUCUCCAGUAGAUGUACACUGAGAGUACCAUAAUACCAUAAUAUAGUAUAAAAAAUGCACCACUGAUUAUUGAAGAGUACCAAAUAGUAUGACAGAUUAUUAAAGAGUACCAAAUAGUAUGACAGAUUAUUAAAGAGUACCAAAUAGUAUGACAGAUUAUUAAAG